AGCUCAGGCAGCUGUGGUGAAGGCUUCCUGAGCCCGCCGGCAGAGCUCCUGCCACCCCGUACCUGUCCCCUCCUGGGCAUCGUCCUUGAUUACUUGUCUGGACCGCCACCCCCGGUCCCCGCCCUGAGAUGGGGAAGACCCCACAAGCAGCAACGCAGACUUACUCUUUUGUUUCUCCAGCUGGAUGUCUCCUCCAGCGACAGUUCCCCUUGCCCUCUUGAUCCUGACAGCGAAGGGGUUCCCCACCCCUAGCCCUACAGACUUAGGACUUUUCCUAGAAACGAGAAGUGCCCAAGGCCCACAGCUGGCCCCUGUUGGAGUCUCUUUCCUGAAGCCACCACCACUGUGGCCACUCCCAAGGAAGAUGCCAACCAUACCAUGAAACCCAUGGCUUCUCACGGGACAGACUUUACUGAGAUGUACCAACUCAAGUAUCUGAAAUGACUGCACACCCAUGCUAACCUCCACGGGGGCACUUGGUCCUACUUACACACAAAGGCCCAUCAGCUCACGGAACAGGGCUGGCAUACGAGAUGCUCAAUGCAUACAAGUUGACUUUUCAACCCUGGGAUCUACCUUUGAAGGCCAGGCCUUCCGAGGGUACCUUCUAGCAUGUGCAUGUGAAGCUGGACUCCUUUGAGCAGUUGUCUCCUCCAGCCCCUUACCAACCUGGUGAGGCUGCUCCUGAGAGCCAAGGAAGCCAGUAACAAGGGGGCCCCCUUUGGGCAAACCCCUCAGCCUGCCCUUGCCUGGUCAGAGAACCACGUUAGCAGUCAACAGAGGGCACGUGAGGGUCCUGGCCAGAAUGAGACACAGGAGGAGCCACAGCCUGCGGGGGUGGGGGUGUCCAAAAGCACCACAGCACAUCCAGACCUAGGGGGUGCCCCUACCAUACGGGUCUGGAGCAGGGAGGUUGUGCUGCAGGCUGACUCAUGCCAGGCCCUUCCCGUCACACGCUGGAGCAGUGUGCCUGGAGAGCACUGGCUUGGAAGAAGCUGAGGGGCCAGCGAGGCCAGCAUAUGGAGGAGGCUUCCCUUGGCCGCUCGUGGCAGGCCUGAAGGCAGCUACCUGUGUCCAGGGACAGCCAGAUCCAAUGAGGAAACGCAGCACCAUGCUGUCAUGUGAGCUGGAGGGGGACUUCUGUCUUAUAAUGAAAGCCCAGACCUUGAGUCACUUUCACAGAGAGAUUUAUCGAGAAUGCUAACAGCACAGGAUACAGUACUUCCCAACAAAAGGUGCAAACGCGUCACUUAGAAAGGCAUGCUGAGUAUUCUUUGCUUUCACAUGUAUUAAAAAACUUACAAAAAUAAAAUAAAA
rnacentral:lncRNA from 1 species